ensembl:lncRNA
UGAUCUGCGAAUAAACAAAGACAGUAAACAAUGGAGUGGAGGCUAUGCCCACAACAUAGGAAGUGUGCAUGCACAACCAAAUUGCAGGAGUAUAAACUUAGAAUAGGACGUCACCGCUCUGUAAAUUUACAUAGACAUUACAUUUCGUUCUCUUCAUUUUAGACAUAACGCUAAGCUGACUUUUUUUAUAGCACACUGAUCGAUAUCGCGGUAAAAUAAUCGUUUUUUUUAAACUAGCGAGGCAGUGAAAUCUUUGCUUUGUGCUAAAGUCAACAGUGACAGAGUUUGAGCUCAAAUAAAUGCAGUGAUGUCUCCAGCCCUUUGCAGAAGGCUGAAAGGCGAGGUUCCACAAUGGGCUCCGAUAGGCUAUUGCCAAUAAGCAUCGACAGUAUUGCACAGGCCUCGGAUUCCUCUCACCCUCAGCCGGGCCGCGUGGCCGUGUGGUCCACACCUCCCCACACACAGGACCGCGCUGAUGUCACAGAGAGGCCAGUCAACAAUGCCCAUUGACUGCACUGAGGCAGCAGCUGUCGGGACAAGCACUGACCUGAAGACAACCUAUUCAGGGCAGGACGUGGUGCCUCUCAGCCCCCCAUUGCUUUUGUAUUCCUCAGAGUGGAUAGAUUGUCGGUGCUUGUCCACCUAUAGCAGGCACCGUAGGUCAAUUUAGGAAAUAAAUUAGCCCAUAUUGACGGAAAAGCCAUAUGAAAAUGUUUGCAGUGAGGUAGAUACAAAGUAAUGACCAAGAAAGAAUGCACAGCCUCCUGGAUGAAUAUGAUAAUAGGAAGAAUACAAACAAAAAAGUACAAGUGUUAAUUUUUGUUGCAUAGAGCGUUAGAAGAUGAUGGGCAAGGCCGUGGUCUCCGGAGGAGAAGAUACUGAAAAGAGGAUUGGAGGGAAGAUUAGCUUCUAAAGGAGAUAAACGAAGCUCAGGAAGCCUGUUGCAAGAUAAUAAGUCUGGGAUCACAACAACAUCUCACAGUCUCACUUGAGUGUUUGACAUUUGUCUGGCGGGGAUAAAUGUCUGUUGGUGAAGUGAAAGUAUAACUGCUGUACAUCUAUUGAUCAAGUGAGUGAAAAAAUAUGUGCACAGAUAAAUGAAUAAUUAAUGAAUGUGAAAGUAAAUCCUGAUUUUCAGUGGGUUAAUCUUAAGUUACUUCCAAGUUGUUAAGAGUUAUGUUUUGGUAUAGAGUUAAAAUAGAAAGAAGUAUAUGCUUGUGAAUAUAUUAUGCGUGUACACCAUACACCUUUCCUGUCAAUAAUUCCCUAGCAAGCUACUGGCUUUCAAGGCAAUUCUAGACAUUCAGGACAUUUGGACAGAUGUCUAGGAACUAGUACAUCACAUUUUGACUUGGAACUAGUACAUCUCUUAGCUGAGCAACCAAGCUGCAGAAUGCAUAUUAAAUAAAGAUUACAGGAUUCCAAAAUAUGAAUCUACGUAUAGCCAGGUUCAAAAUGAAGGUAUUUUGAAUGUGUCUUUUGGUAUUUAACUGCUUCCAGAGGAUUUUUUCAGUAGCGUUAUAGAGCAUGCCUCAGUCAUAUUUCCCAGUGGGUUUGAUGUGAGUCUUUGAGAGCAAACUGUGUUGGCAAAGCCACCGUGAAGUGCUAUGUCAUUCGGCUGUGGUAAAGAGAUUCCUGCUCAGGUGUGAUUGAUCCGACAUGGUUCCUUUAUUCCCCCUGAGGCUUGAGUGGGGUUUUAGAUUUAGACUCUAGCUGUAAUGAUGGAUGUCUAUCUGAAGGUUUCUCUGUCAUGGACCCAGACCAUCUUUUAUUACCUUUUUCCUCUGUUUGUCCCUGGCAUGGCUGCCAACCUUCCUCCUCACCCCACCUCCGAUCCUGGUGAACUGAGGCCUAAGCGUCACUGGCCAGUCACAGCGAAGGACACACAACUCAUUAAAAGUUAAUGAAACCUAUAAACGCAGUGUGCCAGCGAUUCAUUUAAACCCUAAACCAAUCUCCUCUUUCAGCAAAAGCAAACAAGCCUCGUGGCCCCCAAUGCUCUACUCUGAAUAACAAACUACGUAAUAUUUCCUCUGUCAUAUUUUUUCCUAUGCUGACAUGUUUGGUGUGAUAGGCUAUCUUACAAUGGGACUGGUCCAAUCUAUUGAAUGUGGGGAAAGAAUGUUUAGCAGGGGUGAAUUCUGUAAUCUACCUCCAAGUUGAAUCUAACUACUCAACUUGACAUUGCCUCUGCUUGUCAGGCAGCCCGCCAUUUCAACAUUCAUGAGAAUCACUGACAUUCAAAUAAUGUGCUUAUUUUAAUACCAUAUGAGUGAAGGCUAAAUCUGUGUUAGGUUGUGAAUUUAUUCUUCCUACCAGGUAGUACAGAGGACUGUUCCUGGUCUAUGAAUUGUUAAACAGGCAUAGGUUAUAUCACCCCUUUAAAGCUAUCAACCCCUUUCUCUCGUUCCCACCAAAAGCCUUAUUUCAUUUCAAAUAAAGGUAAUAAUAACCAAUCAACAGUAAUAAACUGUAAAAUGUGUGUAAAAAUCAUUGUCAAUCCAAAAUCCAAGAUCUGAAGAAUUACUUCCCUGUCUUUAUAAAACUCAAUUUUAAACAUGGUCCCAUGCCUUAUAGAGGUGUCCUCAGAGGAUCCUAAUUAAAUUCCGUCCAUGUAUGGCGCCACUGUCAGCCAUUUUAAUGAAUUCAUAUACCCUGACUUGAAUUAAAUUAAUCCACAAUUUAAUCCCAUAUAAAUGGCCAUGUCAUUUAUCACGUACAGGCCGAUGCUCAGCUGAAGGGUCCUGGAAAGCUGGUUGAUGUCUAUAGAGCAGUUGAGCAGAUUACCAUUAAAGACAAGAGCUGUAUGUAUUCCCCUGAUACACGCUAUUUAACCCAUCGCCUGUUCACUGCUGACAGUGACAUAGCCUGAAGUGGGAUUUAAUAUCCUGCCAGUAAGUGUAAGAAUUCAGCCAUCUAGAUGUAUGAAUGGAUGGCUUUAAUUUUUCUAUGUGCAACAGCGCCAAGAAGCCUUUGUACAGAUUAUACCAAAGAGAGAAAGAAUUGCUGUCAGUAUCAGUAUUCUUCUGAAAAUAUUGGUUACCGUUAGAGUUGCUGUUUCUCGGGGCUUGCUUGAGAUAAUUAUUUC